rnacentral:lncRNA from 1 species
GUUAAUUUGCAUAUGCUCCGACGAGUGGUAGUAGGAGAAAGAAGAAAGUAAGAGGCAACUUGAGUAGGGAAGAGUAGAUGGUUGAAUAUGAAUGGAAAUGUGUUAUUAUAUCUGUUGGAUCUGGAGGGAUUGUAAUGAAUGAGAUUAAUGACACAAUAUAAAGUAAUAAACAUCACAACAAGAAAACAAGAUUAAAAGUAAAGAAGAACAAAGAGAUUUAGUCACAGAGGAACGAUAUAUAUUAACUGACAAUAUGGAAAGAAAUUACAGACACAAUAAUAAUGCUUAAACAAACAGACAGAGGAGCCUUGUAUUUAUAGGCCACGUUCCAACCCUAGAAGAGCCCUAAGAGGUAAGAAAAUAUGUGAAAAUUAGGCUACAAUUGUGUAUGUAUAAAACUUCGACUGAGGGAGGAUUUCCUUUCCUUAUUCAACUUGGAUACAAUCUUCCUUUUCAAGUAAAAAUCAAAUACGCAAUCUCACAAGAUUCCUAAACAUAUUUGAGUCACAAAAACUAACAAUCUCUAUUUUGACUCAAAUUCUGGUACAACAAGUGGAGCUCCACGAAAUUUCUCCAUCUAAGAAAUAAACUUGUUUAUAUCAAAAUGAAAUGGACAAUCUCCUCAACGCAGUAAUUAAACUCUCCAUAUAAACCAUCAUCCUCUGCACGGUGUCCAUAAGCGACUCCUGAAUUCUACUCCCGAGUUCCCAAAAUUCUACUAGGGAAUUAAUAUUUACCAAACAGGGUCGAAGCACACCCUGUAGCAAAAGUCAUGCAAAAUGCCUGAAUAGAAGGCCUCUUUUUAGAACGGUCACCUUCAACGUCCCCAAAAGUAUUAUAGCUAUUAUUGACACCACGGUACCUAUGCUCAAUGGAUCCAACCCUAGCAACUGAACACGGUGCAAUCGCUGAAAUUGGUGGCAAAACGAAAUCACCAACGCUACCUCAAGCAAUGUUUUGAAUCGACCUAGAGCUCAUUACAAGAGAUACUGCACCAAAUUGAAUAUCCACCACGAAAUUGAACUUGUACAAAUAUCUCUUAAUUGAUUUUGUGCUUCCCUACAAAAUGUACAACUGAGACAUUUUUCAUCCCUCUAGUACAAUUCGGACACCCUUUCGGAUCUUCAAGACUCCACCUCCACCAGAGAAUUUAUACCAUUUUGCAUCUAAAGUACUAAACGAGAUGAGAUUCCUUUUCGGUCUGAAGCAUGUCGAAUAUGAUCAAUUGUUCUGACUGUUCCAUCCCGUAACCUAAAUUUUACAACUCCACCCUACUGAACAGCUUUAUAGGUCUGAAAGAAAUUUCGAUUAGAACACAUAUGAUGCGAAAAUGAUGAAUCGUGAAUCUACUCCUCGCUAAGCCUAGAUUCCACAUCAGAUAUCACGGUCAACAUCACAUCUCCGUCGUCUGAAAAAUCCUCAACCACAUUUGUUUCGUCUAAAAUCAAACGUUAAUCUCCACGAUUUGCAGCUAAUUACUUUAACCUGCAACUUAUCGCAAUCCUUCCAAAUAUGUCCCUUAUAUCUGUAAUAGAUGCAAAACAAAUUGUUAUUAUCCUUCGAUGUGUCUUUCCGUUGACCACCAUGAGAUAAAAGAGCUUCCUCAUCCCUCGAUGUAGCUCCAACGAAAUGUUUCAACUUCUCCUUUGAGCGUAGAGUAUUAUAGACGUCGUCUAUAAUCAAAGUAUUCCAUACAAAACGGUGUCUCGAAACGACACAUAAAAGCCAGGCGGCAAACACAACAGGAUCAAAACAAGAUCCUUUUCAUCGUACUUAAUCUCCAACAUCUCCAGAUCUGUAACUAUUUUCUUGAACACGACAAUAUGGUCCUACAGUGACCCUCCUUCCACCAUGCGAUGGGAAAACAUCUCUUGCUUUAGAGUCAGUUUGCUUGUGAGACUUUUAGUCAUGCAUAACUGCUUCAAUUUGAAUCACAAAGCAAUCGCCAUUUUCUCCUUCAAGACAUCCUACAGAAUAUUGUUGGAUAAAUGAAGAUGGAUCUGCAAUAAAGACUUCCUAUCCCUCCGCUGUUUUUCAUCCGUCAUCCAAUCAGCUGGUAUCUUCUCAAAACCUAGCAGCGUAUCAUCUAAAUCCAAUUGCAUCAGAAUAGUCAUCAUCUUUACUUGUCACAAAGAAAAUCUUGUAUUGUGAUCCAGUGGUGGAAUGUCAUACUUCAUGGUAGUCGUCUCUGAAAAAACCUCAACCAAUUCAUAGAAGAAGAACCUGGCUCUAAUACCACUUGUUGGAACCAAAUGGAUUGUAAUGAAUGAGAUUAAUGACACAAUAUGAAGUAAUAAAGAUCACAACAAAGAACAAGAUUAAGAGUAAAGAAGAACAAAGAGAGUUAAUUGUAGAGGAACUAUGUAUGUUAACUAACAAUAUGGAGAGAAAUUACUGACACAGUAAUAAGGCAUAAACAAAAUUGAUAGAUGAGCUUUAUAUUUAUAGGCCACAUUCCAAACCAUAGAAGAGUCCUAAAAGGUAAGAAAAUUUGUUAAAAUUAGGUUAAAAUUGCGAAUAGAACUUCAAUAGAGGGAGGAUUU